AACGCGAAGAACCUUACCUACCCUUGACAUCCCUGGAAUCUGCUAGAGAUAGCGGAGUGCCGCAAGGAACCAGGAGACAGGUGCUGCAUGGCUGUCGUCAGCUCGUGUUGUGAGAUGUUGGGUUAAGUCCCGUAACGAGCGCAACCCUUAUCCUUAGUUGCCAACACGUAAUGGUGGGGACUCUAAGGAGACUGCUGGUGAAGAACCGGAGGAAGGCGGGGACGAGGUCAAGUCAUCAUGGCCUUUAUGGGUAGGGCUACACACGUGCUACAAUGGUCAGUACAGAGGGCAGCCAACCCGCGAGGGGGAGCCAAUCCCGAAAAGCUGAUCGUAGUCCGGAUUGAAGUCUGCAACUCGACUUCAUGAAGUCGGAAUCGCUAGUAAUCGCGAAUCAGAAUGUCGCGGUGAAUACGUUCCCGGGCCUUGUACACACCGUAGAGAC
rnacentral:rRNA from 1 species